CAGGGAAUUUUGCGCAAUGGGCGAAAGCCUGACGCAGCAACGCCGCGUGGGGGAUGAAGGCCUUCGGGUUGUAAACCCCUUUCAGGAGGAACGAAAUUGACGGUACCUUCAGAAGAAGCCCCGGCCAACUACGUGCCAGCAGCCGCGGUAAUACGUAGGGGGCGAGCGUUGUCCGGAAUCAUUGGGCGUAAAGAGCUCGUAGGCGGCUGAGUAAGUCGGCGGUGAAAUUCCAAGGCUCAACCUUGAAACUGCCGUCGAUACUGCUCUGGCUAGAGUCCGGUAGAGGAGAACGGAAUUCCCGGUGUAGCGGUGGAAUGCGCAGAUAUCGGGAGGAACACCUGUAGCGAAGGCGGUUCUCUGGGCCGGAACUGACGCUGAGGAGCGAAAGCGUGGGGAGCAAACAGG
rnacentral:rRNA from 1 species